rnacentral:rRNA from 1 species
CAUCCUCCAAGGCUAAAUACUCCUGACUGACCGAUAGUGAACCAGUACCGUGAGGGAAAGGCGAAAAGAACCCCGGCGAGGGGAGUGAAAAAGAACCUGAAACCGUGUACGUACAAGCAGUGGGAGCCCCACCACCAAAGCAUUCUCUGGUGUUGAAGGCCCUGCAAAGCAGCAUCGCGGUGGCGGAGCGUCGUUUGCGACGCCCAACACACAAAACAAGCGGUGAGUGCUUUGGGGUGGGGUGACUGCGUACCUUUUGUAUAAUGGGUCAGCGACUUAUAUUCUGUAGCAAGGUUAACCGUAUAGGGGAGCCGCAGGGAAACCGAGUCUUAACCGGGCGUUAAGUUGCAGGGUAUAGACCCGAAACCCGGUGAUCUAGCCAUGGGCAGGUUGAAGGUUGGGUAACACUAACUGGAGGACCGAACCGACUAAUGUUGAAAAAUUAGCGGAUGACCUGUGGCUGGGGGUGAAAGGCCAAUCAAACCGGGAGAUAGCUGGUUCUCCCCGAAAGCUAUUUAGGUAGCGCCUCGUGAAUUCAUCUCCGGGGGUAGAGCACUGUUUCGGCUAGGGGGUCAUCCCGACUUACCAACCCGAUGCAAACUGCGAAUACCGGAGAAUGUUAUCACGGGAGACACACGGCGGGUGCUAACGUCCGUCGUGAAGAGGGAAACAACCCAGACCGCCAGCUAAGGUCCCAAAGUCAUGGUUAAGUGGGAAACGAUGUGGGAAGGCCCAGACAGCCAGGAUGUUGGCUUAGAAGCAGCCAUCAUUUAAAGAAAGCGUAAUAGCUCACUGGUCGAGUCGGCCUGCGCGGAAGAUGUAACGGGGCUAAACCAUGCACCGAAGCUGCGGCAGCGACGCUGAUGCGUUGUUGGGUAGGGGAGCGUUCUGUAAGCCUGUGAAGGUGGCCUGUGAGGGUUGCUGGAGGUAUCAGAAGUGCGAAUGCUGACAUAAGUAACGAUAAAGCGGGUGAAAAGCCCGCUCGCCGGAAGACCAAGGGUUCCUGUCCAACGUUAAUCGGGGCAGGGUGAGUCGACCCCUAAGGCGAGGCCGAAAGGCGUAGUCGAUGGGAAACGGGUUAAUAUUCCCGUACUUGGUGUUACUGCGAAGGGGGGACGGAGAAGGCUAUGUUGGCCGGGCGACGGUUGUCCCGGUUUAAGCGUGUAGGUGUGUGUUCCAGGUAAAUCCGGUUCACUUUAAAACUGAGGCGUGAUGACGAGGCACUACGGUGCUGAAGCAACAAAUGCCCUGCUUCCAGGAAAAGCCUCUAAGCAUCAGGUAACAUCAAAUCGUACCCCAAACCGACACAGGUGGUCAGGUAGAGAAUACCAAGGCGCUUGAGAGAACUCGGGUGAAGGAACUAGGCAAAAUGGUGCCGUAACUUCGGGAGAAGGCACGCUGACACGUAGGUGAAGUGAUUUACUCAUGGAGCUGAAGUCAGUCGAAGAUACCAGCUGGCUGCAACUGUUUAUUAAAAACACAGCACUGUGCAAACACGAAAGUGGACGUAUACGGUGUGACGCCUGCCCGGUGCCGGAAGGUUAAUUGAUGGGGUCAGCGCAAGCGAAGCUCCUGAUCGAAGCCCCGGUAAACGGCGGCCGUAACUAUAACGGUCCUAAGGUAGCGAAAUUCCUUGUCGGGUAAGUUCCGACCUGCACGAAUGGCGUAAUGAUGGCCAGGCUGUCUCCACCCGAGACUCAGUGAAAUUGAACUCGCUGUGAAGAUGCAGUGUACCCGCGGCAAGACGGAAAGACCCCGUGAACCUUUACUAUAGCUUGACACUGAACAUUGAGCCUUGAUGUGUAGGAUAGGUGGGAGGCUUUGAAGUGUGGACGCCAGUCUGCAUGGAGCCGACCUUGAAAUACCACCCUUUAAUGUUUGAUGUUCUAACGUGGACCCGUAAUCCGGGUUGCGGACAGUGUCUGGUGGGUAGUUUGACUGGGGCGGUCUCCUCCUAAAGAGUAACGGAGGAGCACGAAGGUUGGCUAAUCCUGGUCGGACAUCAGGAGGUUAGUGCAAUGGCAUAAGCCAGCUUGACUGCGAGCGUGACGGCGCGAGCAGGUGCGAAAGCAGGUCAUAGUGAUCCGGUGGUUCUGAAUGGAAGGGCCAUCGCUCAACGGAUAAAAGGUACUCCGGGGAUAACAGGCUGAUACCGCCCAAGAGUUCAUAUCGACGGCGGUGUUUGGCACCUCGAUGUCGGCUCAUCACAUCCUGGGGCUGAAGUAGGUCCCAAGGGUAUGGCUGUUCGCCAUUUAAAGUGGUACGCGAGCUGGGUUUAGAACGUCGUGAGACAGUUCGGUCCCUAUCUGCCGUGGGCGCUGGAGAACUGAGGGGGGCUGCUCCUAGUACGAGAGGACCGGAGUGGACGCAUCACUGGUGUUCGGGUUGUCAUGCCAAUGGCACUGCCCGGUAGCUAAAUGCGGAAGAGAUAAGUGCUGAAAGCAUCUAAGCACGAAACUUGCCCCGAGAUGAGUUCUCCCUGAGACUU